AUAGCAACAGCAGCGUAGCUGAACAUCUUACGGAUGGCCCAGGGCUCCAAAGGCUCGUUUCCUAAGUGAGAGAGAGCCUGGCUGAAGCUGUAUUACCAUUCAUUCUCCAGCCUCCGAAGUCUCAAAGCAUCACUUCCACCAUACUCUAACUGUCAAGACAAACACAAAGGCCCAGGUAGGUUCAAAAAGAGGGGGAGUAGGCUCUGCUUCUUGAUGCAGAUGUGGCCAGGUUCUGGAGGAGAAUGUGGGACAGGAAAUAUUAUUGCAGUUCUGGAAAACACAAUCUGCCAUGAAAGGCAAUCUCAACUUUCAGUUAUUAGAGGACUGAGGGUAUUUUAUUACAUACUAGUCAGAUGCCUAUUUUCAGGAGCACUGAAUACUAAAUAUACGGCCCCUCAGCCCUGUGAGGUAGAGUGAAAGUUACAGGAACGGCAAAUGAAUAAAUGAAGACAUCAAGAUGAUUUACAAAUUCAUAAAUUUCCCACAAAAUAUAAUAUAUAUAUAACAUAAUAUAUAUAUUGGGAUCUCUGACUCUGAUCUAAAUAGACAAAUGUUUUUCAAAAUGAUACUUUGAUUUAGAAAGAAGAAUACACUAUCGAUGUUCCUUUUAAACAAGUAUUUGAGUAAAAGCGAUGUUUCCAAUGUGUGUCAGAAAGUGAAUACUUGUAUAUUUCCGCACGGUUAGAGCUGAGCUUUCCGAGCAAAUUUUACUGGGACCCGGUUGAAAGACAGGUCUUGGAAGUGAAAUGAUGACUGACUAGAUGAAACUGCCAGACUGUCUUCUGAAGUGGCUAUAAUAUUUACACUCCCAUCAGCAGUGUUUAAAGGAAAGAUCGCUUUCAGUUUCUGAAUACCCAUGGAAGGACAUGGUUAUAUUAUGUCAUAUCAUUAUAUCUGACCCAGUUUCUAAGGAUCCAGUUGCUGAUAUAAAUCCGAGAGAAGGGGUCUCACUAUGUUGUCUGGAGUGCUGUGGUGGAGUGGAGUGGCUAUUCACAGCUGAGUUUGCAGAGUAAACCACUACCCUGAAAUCUGGAAAGGCAGGUGCACCCACAGAUCCUCAGCUGAGAUCCAAUUACCUGAAAUAGAAGCUGCCAUUAGGAACACUUAAAAGAGCCUGUUCUGCUGGGACACAGAAUCACUUGCUCCAUCUCAUACAUUGAUGAUGAUUAAUUUGUAUGUGUACCUUCCAAAAAAGAUGGUUGUGUUUGAAUGGAGGCCUUCUGGACAGGAAAAUAUGGAGAGUGCGUGCUUUGGAUUCAAGACUGGGAAUGAGGGGACCAGAAACCUAUUCUGUGGCUGU
rnacentral:lncRNA from 10 species